GAUGAAGAACGCAGCAAAAUGCGAUAAGUAAUGUGAAUUGCAGAAUUCAGUGAAUCAUCGAAUCUUUGAACGCACAUUGCGCCCGCCAGUAUUCUGGCGGGCAUGCCUGUUCGAGCGUCAUUUCAACCCUCAAGCUCAGCUUGGUGUUGGGCCCCGCCGCCCCGGCGGGCCCUAAAGUCAGUGGCGGUGCCGUCCGGCUCCGAGCGUAGUAAUUCUUCUCGCUCUGGAGGUCCGGUCGUGUGCUCGCCAGCAACCCCCAAUUUUUUUCAGGUUGACCUCGGAUCAGGUAGGGAUACCCGCUGAACUUAAGCAUAUCAAUAAGCGGAGGA
rnacentral:misc_RNA from 1 species